rnacentral:rRNA from 1 species
GACGAACGCUGGCGGCGUGCCUAAUACAUGCAAGUCGAACGAGAGCGACCGGUGCUUGCACUGGUCAAUCUAGCGGCGAACGGGUGAGUAACACGUGGGUAACCUGCCCAUCAGAGGGGGAUAACAUUCGGAAACGGAUGCUAAAACCGCAUAGGUCUUCGAACCGCAUGGUUUGAAGAGGAAAAGAGGCGCAAGCUUCUGCUGAUGGAUGGACCCGCGGUGCAUUAGCUAGUUGGUGAGGUAACGGCUCACCAAGGCCGUGAUGCAUAGCCGACCUGAGAGGGUGAUCGGCCACAUUGGGACUGAGACACGGCCCAAACUCCUACGGGAGGCAGCAGUAGGGAAUCUUCCGCAAUGGACGCAAGUCUGACGGAGCAACGCCGCGUGAGUGAAGAAGGUUUUCGGAUCGUAAAACUCUGUUGUUAGAGAAGAACAAGUGCUAGAGUAACUGUUAGCGCCUUGACG